AUCUAGCAUGAAGAUUGUUAUGGCUGAAUCGUGUCCCCUCCAAAUUGACAUGUUGAAGUCCUGACCCCCAGUACCUCAGAAUGUGACUGAAUUUGACGAUAGGGUCUUUAAAGAGGCAUCUGACACAUCUUGAUGUCCUAACACAAAGCUGUGAUUAACUGAUACUGCUAAUUACAGAGAGAGUUAUUUCCAAAGGACUCAACGGCCAAGUCAAAGACCAUGUAAGAGCUGACUAGGCUUGUGAAGGAAGGUGAUCCUUACUUCUUGAUAAGUGGGGAUGAUAGCACCAUCCUCUGAUAGCACCAACUACCCAGCGAUUCAACCAGAAACUGAGCACCCAUCUUUGACUUCUCCUGAUGUGGCUCUUUACCAGUAGGUAAACUAUAUGGGCCGGGAGAUGGAGGAGUAGAAGUAAGAGUGGCCCCAUUAACCAUCACUCUUAGUUCUUUACUUGGGGAAUCCGUGCUUCUCUCCAUUCUUGCAAUUUUCAGCCUGAUAGGUUUAGAAGAUCGGCUCACAAAGACAGAACACUUCCAUCGGGGAAAAGAGUAAGAGUUCCAUUAACAUGAAGCUUUAGCUGCCACCCAGUUUCUUCACACUUUGUGCUAAUAGACUAACAAGCAAGAAAAGGAGUUAUCUUCCUGGGAGGGAUAAUUGAUCUGGAUUAACGUAUCAGGAUUAAUUAUGAGGGAGUAGAAUCGCUAUUAAAAAACCGGUAAUGUAUUUUCACUGAAUGUAUCCACUGGAGUAUCUCUUGGUGCUCCUUUAAUUCAAUUGUCAUGGUGAAUUGAGGAGUGUAGGUGCCACCAGCUGAAGAGGGCAUGUUGAAACAAAAUCUCAGAACUCUCAGAGAGAAAAGCCUGAGUCACUCCCCCAAAGGAACCUCCCAGAUAGUGAGCAGUGUUUGCUAAGGGUGAGGGGAACCCAAGAUGAUGAUUAUCAGUUGUAAUGUCAAGACAAGCAAUAGCAGAAAGGGCAACAACAGAAAGACAUCUCUCUGUUUAGAUUCUCCAGGAAACGUGAGGAAUGACAAUUUUUGAAGAAGGGUUCUCAGCCAGAAUGUAUGUACUAAUUGAAAGUGGUCGAUCUUAGCGGUGCAAGUGGUGGACUCUGGAUUCUGUGCCAUCCAGAUACUCCCAUCAGAGUGGAAAUACUUGUAUCCCUAGCUGCCAGGAUUGUUGGCUGGUGAUAUCUUACACUUAAGUUCCUCUUUCGAAAUUGCUCGCCGGGGGCAAGCUAUAUCUGUUAAGUGGUUGAUGUCACGGCGUAAAUAUCUGGCUCCCUCACCUGAAUUCAGGACAGCCCCAGAGGGCCCUAUGAGAUCACCCGAGGCUUCUUUUGCAACUGCAUCAAAUUCAACUUUUCAUUCUGGCCAGAGCUGCUUCCCCCAUUCCCUAAAGGCAUUGUUACCAGAGCAUUCCUUAAUAAACUUGCUGUACACAAAUAUCAAAGUCUCAGAAUACGUUUUAUGUCGACAUAUAUGAAGGGCACAUAUGAAAAUAAUAUCCUACUGCUACUUACACUUCAUUGAAUUACCCACAUAAGAAGAAAAAUUACUUCUCAUAAUUAGGAUCAUCUAUCCUUAUAACUUUUGGUUUGAAACCUGUAUUACUCGGGGCAUAGUUCAAAGUAUUGUAACAAGGAGUCUAUGAAAGAUUGUGAACAUCAAAAGAUGCAAUUUUAUUUUUCUGUCUUCUGAUGUCCAGAGACUGGCUAUUGAGGGUUAGCGGAACAACGUGCUUGAUGAGAGCAUCCGGUGACCCAGACUCUUCUUUCCUUGUGUUCUGCUUCAUUAACCCACAGUUGCCCACUUGUGGUCUAAGAUGGAUAUUCCCGCUAUUGUCCCCAUGACUUUUUUCCAGACAGUAGGAAGUAGUAAAGGGAAAAGGGAGGACGUGAUCUUUCCCUUUAAGGGCAUGAUUCUUUAGGUGCAUACAAUAUU